rnacentral:misc_RNA from 1 species
GAUGAAGAACGUAGUGAAAUGCGAUACGUAAUGUGAAUUGCAGAAUUCAGUGAAUCAUCGAAUCUUUGAACGCAUAUUGCGCUCCCUGGUAUUCCGGAGAGCAUGCUUGUUUGAGUAUCAGUAAACACCUCAACUUCCAUAUCUUUUUUGAAAUGGGAGUUGGACUUGAGUGAUCCCAACGCUUUUCCUCACCGAAAAGUGGCGGGUUACUUGAAAUGCAGGUGCAGCUGGACUUUUCUCUGAGCUAUAAGCAUAUCUAUUUAGUCUGCCUAAAAAACAGAUUAUUACCUUUGCUGCAGCUAACAUAAAGGAGAUUAGUUCUUGUGCUGACUGAUGCAGGAUUCACAAAGACAGGCUUCGGCCGACUUUGUAAACUCGAUCUCAAAUCAAGUAAGACUACCCGCUGAACUUAAGCAUAUCAAUAAGCGGAGGA